rnacentral:rRNA from 1 species
CAUGCAAGUCGAACGAUGAUCCCGUGCUGNCACCGGGGAUAGUGGGCGAACGGGUGAGUAACACGUGAGUACCCUGCCCUUGACUCUGGAUAAAGCCUGGAAACUGGGUCUAAUACCGGAUAUGACCUUCCAUCGCAUGGUGGUGGUGGGAAAGCUUUUGUGGUUUUGGAUGGACUCGCGGCCUAUCAGCUUGUUGGUGAGGUAAUGGCUCACCAAGGCGACGACGGGUAGCCGGCCUGAGAGGGUGACCGGCCACACUGGGACUGAGACACGGCCCAGACUCCUACGGGAGGCAGCAGUGGGGAAUAUUGCACAAUGGGCGCAAGCCUGAUGCAGCGACGCCGCGUGAGGGAUGACGGCCUUCGGGUUGUAAACCUCUUUCAGUAGGGAAGAAGCGAAAGUGACGGUACCUGCAGAAGAAGCGCCGGCUAACUACGUGCCAGCAGCCGCGGUAAUACGUAGGGCGCAAGCGUUAUCCGGAAUUAUUGGGCGUAAAGAGCUCGUAGGCGGUUUGUCGCGUCUGCCGUGAAAGUCCGGGGCUCAACUCCGGAUCUGCGGUGGGUACGGGCAGACUAGAGUGAUGUAGGGGAGACUGGAAUUCCUGGUGUAGCGGUGAAAUGCGCAGAUAUCAGGAGGAACACCGAUGGCGAAGGCAGGUCUCUGGGCAUUAACUGACGCUGAGGAGCGAAAGCAUGGGGAGCGAACAGGAUUAGAUACCCUGGUAGUCCAUGCCGUAAACGUUGGGCACUAGGUGUGGGGGACAUUCCACGUUUUCCGCGCCGUAGCUAACGCAUUAAGUGCCCCGCCUGGGGAGUACGGCCGCAAGGCUAAAACUCAAAGGAAUUGACGGGGGCCCGCACAAGCGGCGGAGCAUGCGGAUUAAUUCGAUGCAACGCGAAGAACCUUACCAAGGCUUGACAUGAACCGGAAAGACCUGGAAACAGGUGCCCCGCUUGCGGUCGGUUUACAGGUGGUGCAUGGUUGUCGUCAGCUCGUGUCGUGAGAUGUUGGGUUAAGUCCCGCAACGAGCGCAACCCUCGUUCUAUGUUGCCAGCACGUGAUGGUGGGGACUCAUAGGAGACUGCCCGGGGUCACUCGGAGGAAGGUGGGGACGACGUCAAAUCAUCAUGCCCCUUAUGUCUUGGGCUUCACGCAUG